CAGAGUUCAUGCCCUCACGGGUAGAUCUCCCACCCUUGAAUAUUAUACCUUAGUUGCUUGGCAGGCCGGGGUAACCCCCGGGGCUUCGGCCUUGGUGUGCCUGCCAGAGGAAACAAACUCUGUUUUUAGUGAUGUCUGAGUACUAUAUAAUAGUUA
rnacentral:misc_RNA from 1 species